rnacentral:rRNA from 1 species
GACGAACGCUGGCGGAGGGAGGAACACAUGCAAGUCGAACGGAAAGGCCCCUUUGGGGGUACUCGAGUGGCGAACGGGUGAGUAACACGUGAGUAACCUGCCCUUGACUUCGGGAUAACUUCAGGAAACUGGGGCUAAUACCGGAUAGGAAUCCUUGCUGCAGGGUGGGGGUUGGAAAGCUUCGGCGGUUUUGGAUGGACUCGCGGCUUAUCAGCUUGUUGGUGGGGUAGUGGCUUACCAAGGCUUUGACGGGUAGCCGGCCUGAGAGGGCGACCGGCCACAUUGGGACUGAGAUACGGCCCAGACUCCUACGGGAGGCAGCAGUGGGGAAGAUUGCACAAUGGGCGGAAGCCUGAUGCAGCAACGCCGCGUGCGGGAUGACGGCCUUCGGGUUGUAAACCGCUUUCAGCAGGGGCGAAGCUUGUGGUGACGGUACCUGCAGAAGAAGCACCGGCUAACUACGUG